GACGGAGGGGGCAAGCGUUGUCCGGACUUACUGGGCGUAAAGGGCCCGUAGGCGGCACGAUGCGUCGGUGCUGAAAGCGCCCCGCUUAACGGGGUGAGGCGUGCCGAUACGAUCGCGCUUGAGGCAGGCAGAGGGUGGCGGAAUUCCGGGUGUAGUGGUGAAAUGCGUAGAGAUCCGGAGGAACGCCGGUGGCGCAAGCGGCCACCUGGGCCUGACCUGACGCUGAGGGGCGAAAGCGUGGGGAGCGAACCGG
rnacentral:rRNA from 1 species